GAUGAACGCUGGCGGCGUGCCUAAUACAUGCAAGUCGAGCGAACGGACGAGAAGCUUGCUUCUCUGAUGUUAGCGGCGGACGGGUGAGUAACACGUGGAUAACCUACCUAUAAGACUGGGAUAACUUCGGGAAACCGGAGCUAAUACCGGAUAAUAUUUUGAACCGCAUGGUUCAAAAGUGAAAGACGGUCUUGCUGUCACUUAUAGAUGGAUCCGCGCUGCAUUAGCUAGUUGGUAAGGUAACGGCUUACCAAGGCAACGAUGCGUAGCCGACCUGAGAGGGUGAUCGGCCACACUGGAACUGAGACACGGUCCAGACUCCUACGGGAGGCAGCAGUCGGGAAUCUUCCGCAAUGGGCGAAAGCCUGACAGAGCAACGCCGCGUGAGUGAUGAAGGUCUUCGGAUCGUAAAACUCUGUUAUUAGGGAAGAACAUAUGUGUAAGUAACUGUGCACAUCUUGACGGUACCUAAUCAGAAAGCCACGGCUAACUACGUG
rnacentral:rRNA from 1 species